CAUGAAUCUCGACUGUUGAGUCAACAUCUGUCACCCAGCUUGUUCGGUCCAAUCUGUGUGGCCAUUUGUGGUGGGGACCAAAAGCAAGUCGUCAGAAGAUAAAUCACAAUGGAGUUUGCAGGUUGGGUUGAGCAGGUUGCCGUGGGGACGGAGGGCGGAGGCUGGAGCCUCAAUUGACAUCACCUGCAGCUCAUCAGCGGGCUCGUUAGCCAGCUCUUCUCCCGGCUAUUUAGAGUCAUGCAGGAGCUCCAGUCUUCGCCAGAUUGUCAUUCAAUGAAGCGUGGUAAUCAGGCCUCUACCUACGAUCUAUCUGUGCUUUGCUCUUGGAUUAUUGACCUUGUCAUUUUUUCUACAGACUAAGACCUUGAUCCCCUCAGUUAACCUCAGCACCCAGGAUUUUGGACUACUCCUCACAUCAAGCUACCUGCCUGCCUGCUCGCCCUGCCUGCAACCAAGCUCACAACACCAUCCACAGAUAACAUCUCCUGGUUCACCCCUCCACAGUCAGUCUCACGCAGAAACAGUAAGCCGCUGUCAAUGCUGACACAACCCAGCACCUUUCCCUGCAAUAACCCUCUGCCCUUUCCACAGAAGAGUUGCCCGGACCUAGAUCAAGCUACCAACACUUGUCAUUAAUAAACAUUGUCGCACCUUUCUCCCGGCUGUCUAAGUGUUCUGCUUUUGGGUCCGCUUCCUGGUACCGCGGCUGCAGGCCGUGUCAAUACCACUUCGUCCAUUAAGGGUUGUGGAAACCUAACCCAGCAUUUAGCAGGUGAGAGGCAGGUACAACCUGGAUAGAUCACCAGUCCAUCGCAGGGCCAACACAGAAUGAGACAAACAACUUCACGCUCACUCCUAGGGAGAAUUUACAGUCACCAACUAACCUACCAUGCAUGUCUUUUGACGGUGUAAGGAAGCUGGAAUACCUGGAGAGAACCCACGCAUACAUGGGGAGAACAUGCAAAUCAACACAGAAAGGCCACUGCUGGAACCUCCCCCAAGCCGAGGCUCAAAGCAGUGACCUUCUUGCUGUGAGGCCGCUAUGCUAACCACCACACCACCACAAGUUAAAUUACAAGUUAGAAAUAAUAAGUCAGUUAUACAAGUACAAAACAUUUACCCACAUUUUACAA